UCAAUGUAAACGCAUAACGUUAUUUUAUUCACAUAUACAAAGUGGUAUGACAAAAAAGCACGAUGCCAAAUCGGGUUUUUUUCUGUUAGUUGCGAAUGUAUUCGUUAUAGUAGUUAAUUUGCUAGUCCACGGAUGUUCCCGCCGAAAUUGGACUUCGUUAUUAUGAAUAUUAAUAAAUUAAUAUGAGGUGUGUUUUUAUCAACUUAACCACUUGGUUGUUUUUGCUUCAGAAAAGCAACUAGUUAUAAAUGUAAGCGCUUUUUUGGACAACUUCGGUGAAAAAGUGUUGAUUUCGUAGUUCAGUCAGCGUAACUUAUAUCCGAGAGGUCUUACAGGCGCCACAGACACCUAUCAGCCUUUUGUAAGGAGGAGCAGCUCGAGUGCGGUGCGGUCAGUAGCCCUUCAAAUUAGAAAAGUGAGGAUGAUCUUGUCAAUGCUGAGAUUUUCAUGCAUCAGCAGCCACUACAUCUGGAUCAGAUUGAACAAGAAACAGACAGCAAGGGUUGUCAGGUCAGAAACAGAAUGACACACAAACACAAGAAACUUCACAGGCAGAUCAACAUGCAAUUUGAAGAUGUGUGAUAAAAUACAGAGAGGUGAAGUAGUGUGUCUUUCCAGAUGCCCAAAUCAUUCCCCCUUAAAAGAUGAGCCUGAAGAGGAGAUUUGGGAAGAUGUUGUUUCAUAAGUCGCUUUGCCAGAUCACCUGUGGUCGGGAUGUCUGCUAACAAGAUGCCUUGCUGGUCUGAGCGAGUUUAAAGUCUUACACAGACAGUCCAGAAGUUCUGAAGUCCAUCUUCGAUUUCAUUGGACGCUUUAAGGUGUAGAAACAUCUCAGCAACCUCAAGAGAAAUUGGAGGCAACUGAGCUAAAUUGCAGAUGUUGUUGCAAAGGGUCUGAAUAUGUAUAAUAUGCUGUCAUCGUAUUAAGUACAGCAUGAGCCAGAAUAGAUGGGUGGUGGUGGCCAUAAGAAGACUGUCAACUAAACCAACAACAAAAUUCAUAUUUGCAGUUUUUCUUGAAUAAAGUUUUUCUAUUCAGAUGAAUAAAAUGACUUUUAAACAUGAUUUUGUUUCAUAU